GAAUAGGGCGUUUAGUAUUUGGUCGUAGACCCGAAACCAGGUGAUCUACCCUUGGUCAGGUUGAAGUUCAGGUAACACUGAAUGGAGGACCGAACCGACUUACGUUGAAAAGUGAGCGGAUGAACUGAGGGUAGCGGAGAAAUUCCAAUCGAACCUGGAGAUAGCUGGUUCUCUCCGAAAUAGCUUUAGGGCUAGCCUCAAGUGAUGAUUAUUGGAGGUAGAGCACUGUUUGGACGAGGGGCCCCUCUCGGGUUACCGAAUUCAGACAAACUCCGAAUGCCAAUUAAUUUAACUUGGGAGUCAGAACAUGGGUGAUAAGGUCCGUGUUCGAAAGGGAAACAGCCCAGACCACCAGCUAAGGUCCCAAAAUAUAUGUUAAGUGGAAAAGGAUGUGGCGUUGCCCAGACAACUAGGAUGUUGGCUUAGAAGCAGCCAUCAUUUAAAGAGUGCGUAAUAGCUCACUAGUCGAGUGACACUGCGCCGAAAAUGUACCGGGGCUAAACAUAUUACCGAAGCUGUGGAUUGUCCUUUGGACAAUGGUAGGAGAGCGUUCUAAGGGCGUUGAAGCA
rnacentral:rRNA from 1 species